GCCUACGGGGCGCAGCAGUGGGGAAUCUUAGACAAUGGGGGAAACCCUGAUCUAGCCAUGCCGCGUGAUCGAUGAAGGCCUUAGGGUUGUAAAGAUCUUUCAGGUGGGAAGAUAAUGACUGUACCACCAGAAGAAGCCCCGGCUAACUCCGUGCCAGCAGCCGCGGUAAUACGGAGGGGGCUAGCGUUAUUCGGAAUUACUGGGCGUAAAGCGCACGUAGGCGGACUGAAAAGUCAGAGGUGAAAUCCCAGGGCUCAACCUUGGAACUGCCUUUGAAACUCUCAGUCUUGAGGUCGAGAGAGGUGAGUGGAAUUCCGAGUGUAGAGGUGAAAUUCGUAGAUAUUCGGAGGAACACCAGUGGCGAAGGCGGCUCACUGGCUCGAUACUGACGCUGAGGUGCGAAAGCGUGGGGAGCAAACAGGAUUAGAUACCCGUGUAGUCGU
rnacentral:rRNA from 1 species